rnacentral:lncRNA from 1 species
GCAACUUGGAAAGGUGCCUUUCAAUUUCUUCUGAUUCAAUAGAUCUGUGUAGGUGUGGUGAAACUGGAAAAAACCCUAUUUCUUGAAAGGGGAAUUUGGAUGCCCUAAUACUUAGCUACGAGGGUUUGUGUCUUGUUUGCUUGUUCGAGUUGGGUAAGAAAAAAGUUGGACUGCAGCAAAGACUGCUCGUGAAGUGAAGGAGUUUUAACUUUUACCGAUGAAUAUUAGUGUGCAAGUGAAACUACUGCAGAAGCUUCAAGUGCAGUGGAAGAGGAAAGCCAUGGAAAUUCAGUCAUGGUAAGUAGAAAAGGACACUCUCUCUCUCUCUUGAUUUCUCUUUCUCUCUCAUUCUCUCUCUGGAUUCUCUGUGUGUGUGUGUGUGUGUGUUAUGAUGCUGAACAGAAUAGAUAGGGAAACCCUAACACAGAGAAACUGGAGAUAUUUGAAGAAAAUUGGGGGUUGCUUUCUAGAAACUUAUAUAAUCAAGAGAUAUAUGGAAACAAAAUUUAUCCAAGUUUUUUGUUGAAUGAAAACUACAGUUUGCUUCGGAUUUUAGUCGCAAUGUGGCACUAGUUGAUGUCUUGCUAAAAGAAAAGUGUACUUUGUUUGUUUGUCUUUUUUUUUUUUUUUUUAUAUAUCGACUGUUUAAUUUCUUGAUUUUCUUAUUUCUGUUAGAAGCUGGAAUGCUUAAAUGCAUCAGUGUUUUAAUCUAUGAUUAAUAUUCAAAUUUUAAUUGCAUGGUGAUUCAGAUAUAUGCUGCCCCUUUUGACAGAUUUAUGGGAACUAAGCUAGUUUCCUUUUCUCCAGUUCUGUUGGUACAGUUUUAUUUAAACUUGUAUUUACUGUUUAGUCAUUAUUAAGAUGGAAACACAAAAUAAACAUCAUAUAUAU